AUAGGCAAUAUGAGGCCGUUAUGAUCACUGCUUUCAUUACGCAUCAAUUUAAAUGAUUAUUUUUUACAGGUGUGAUAUUAGGAAGGAGGACAGAAUUGCCAUAAGGAAGAAGAAAAUCUUCACAAUUUAUAAAAGCUUCAGAUGGAGUUCAAAUCAAAUGGGGAUGCCAGGAUCUUUCCCUGCCUCCUGGCCAGUAGGGCUGGAAUUUCACUGUGUCUAGGAAAAGUGGAAAACCUGGCUCGCUGCCAGACUGCAGAUUAGUGCUGCUGAGAUGCUGUCAGCAGCAGUCUUGAUGGAGCUCCAGAGCCUAGUUCCUAAGAACAUGAGCACAGGCAAAGCAGCAGGAAUAUCCUUUGGACCCACAAAGAGAAACAUGA